rnacentral:rRNA from 1 species
UACGGAGGGAGCUAGCGUUGUUCGGAAUUACUGGGCGUAAAGCGCACGUAGGCGGCUUUGUAAGUUAGAGGUGAAAGCCCGGGGCUCAACUCCGGAACUGCCUUUAAGACUGCAUCGCUUGAAUCCAGGAGAGGUGAGUGGAAUUCCGAGUGUAGAGGUGAAAAUUCGUAGAUAUUCGGAAAGAACACCAGUGGCGAAGGCGGGCUCACUGGACUGGUAUUGACGCUGAGGUGCGAAAAGCGUGGGGGAGCAAACAGG